GUUUGAUCCUGGCUCAGGAUAAACGCUGGCGGCAUGCCUAAUACAUGCAAGUCGAACGGGGGUGCUUGCACCCCAGUGGCGAACGGGUGAGUAACACGUAUCUAACCUACCUCAUAGCGGGGGAUAACUUUUGGAAACGAAAGAUAAUACCGCAUGUGAAUCUUAUUAUCGCAUGAGAAAAGAUUGAAAGGACCGUUUGGUUCACUAUGAGAUGGGGAUGCGGCGUAUUAGUUAGUAGGUGAGGUAAUGGCUCACCUAGGCGAUGAUACGUAGCCGAACUGAGAGGUUGAUCGGCCACAUUGGGACUGAGAUACGGCCCAGACUCCUACGGGAGGCAGCAGUAGGGAAUUUUUCACAAUGGACGAAAGUCUGAUGAAGCAAUGCCGCGUGAGUAAUGACGGCCUUCGGGUUGUAAAGCUCUGUUGUAAGGGAAGAAAAAAUAGAGUAGGAAAUGCCUCUAUAUUGACGGUACCUUACCAGAAAGCCACGGCUAACUAUGUGCCAGCAGCCGCGGUAAUACAUAGGUGGCAAGCGUUAUCCGGAUUUAUUGGGCGUAUAGGGUGCGUAGGCGGUUUUGCAAGUUUGAGGUUAAAGCCCGGAGCUCAACUCCGGUCCGCCUUGAAAACUGCAUUACUAGAAUGCAAGAGAGGUAAGUGGAAUUCCAUGUGUAGCGGUGAAAUGCGUAGAUAUAUGGAAGAACACCUGUGGCGAAAGCGGCUUACUGGCUUGUUAUUGACGCUGAGGCACGAAAGCGUGGGGAGCAAAUAGGAUUAGAUACCCUAGUAGUCCACGCCGUAAACGAUGUCGACUAGCCGUUGGGAUCCUUGAGAUCUUAGUGGCGCAGCUAACGCAUUAAACAUUCCGCCUGGGGAGUACGGUCGCAAGAUUAAAACUCAAAGGAAUUGACGGGGGCCCGCACAAGCGGCGGAGCAUGUG
rnacentral:rRNA from 1 species